GCCCACAACAAUAUCAUAUCUCCUCCACUAUUUCAGUGUCAAAAGUGAAACAAUAGCAUGUCGCUACUGUAAUUUCAAAUACUUUCAAUUUCAUACUGAAACUAUUAAAGUGAGACUAUACUCUCACAUAUAUACAGGCAUACUAUAAGACACAAGUUAAAAACAUUCCCAACAAUUCAACUUCUCUGGUUGACAUUAACACACCCACCCCCAAUAGGGGCCUUCAUUCCCACAUUUUAGAGCUCCAUGAGCUCCAUUUUGGAAUAUGCGCAUAAAGAUCAAUAGUAUGGGAUACAUGUCUCAUGAGUAGAAUUUUUUUAGGGCGUGUAAAGAGGGAAAGAACCCUCAUGUGAAAUUUUGAUGAAAUUCGAAUCAUAUGUAUUCCAGUUCCUUACAGAAAAUAUAACAGAAAAGUUUCAUUCUUCAAUUGCAUGUAACACGGGCAACGCCGUGUAUCUCUGCUAGUCUAUAAUAUUAUGUGACUUGCGAUGCAUUGAUAAUAAUAAUUAUAGUAAAAGUUUUGAAUCUUAACGUACAUUAUAAACAGUGUCCACCCCACCCCCACUGUUAUGAACAUUUAUGACUCUCCCUAAGUAACUAUACUUCUGAUCUGUGGGUAGAGGUUUUCCCCUGUCUGUAUUUUUUUUUAGUGUAUGUGCCUGUGAGCUUACCAUAUAAGUAUCUGUAUGUACUCAUAUGAACCUCAUUAUGUAUAUAUGUAUAUAUUUAUAUCUAUGUGUACCUCUGUGUGGACUGCAUGUUCAUAUGUAUGUAUAUAUGGGUAUAGGUAUAUUUAUGUCUAUAUGUUCAUUUAUGUGGACUACAUGUUCAUAUGUGUGUGUGUUGGUAUCUGGAUAUUUGUAUAUAUGUGUGAAUAUAUAUGUGUGUGUGUUUGUGUAUAUGAAUAUGUAAGAUUCAUACCAUGCUGUGUAGUAUUUGUAUAUGUACACAUAUACGAUAUAUGUGUGUAUUAGCAUAUAAGAUUAAUACUGGAUAUGUAUAUAUAUGACUACUUUCAUGCCCUUCUUACACUUCUCUUUACUGGCUCUUAAUCUGGGUGCUGUAUGGGAAGGAGAGAAAAAUUAUGCUUCAUAGAAUCAAAUUCAUGCUGUACACUAUGCUACCUAGCAAACGUUUACACAGAUUUUUCUAAACACGAACAAAUGCCCCUCAGUGACUACCUUCCUGUUGUCCCUUCCAAGUAUACAAUUUUAGGGCUGCAAGCAUCAACGUUGGCAUAAUGAAGGGGAGAUCUGUUGAGAUUGUUGAAAUGAUGGAGCAUUGUCAUGUUGAUGUGUAUGGUGUGCAAAAAGUGAGAUCGAAAGGAGCCUCUGUUAGAUUCCUCAUAGGUGAGAAACAGAAGUUUAAAUUCUUCUGGGUAGGCCGGAGUGAUGGAGUGGGUAGUGUAGGUAUACUCGUAGUGGAAAAGUGGGUGGAUAAGGUAAUUGAGGUAGUCAGAGUGUGCGAUAGGUUUAUUAAAUUGAGACUCAUCAUAAAUAGAUUAAGAGUUACAUUUAUCUCUGCCUAUGCUCCACUAACUGGGUUGGCUAAUGACCAGAAGGACCAGUUCGAUGAGGUCCUUCUGCAGACUACCUCAACAACAAAUGACAGAGACUUCGUUAUUGUAGCCGGCAACUUUAAUGGACAUGUUGGGCAGCUUUCCCAUGGAUUCCAUGUUGUGCUUGGCAGUUAUGGCUUUGGUACCAGAAAUGAGGAAGGUACAAAGCUACUUGAGUUCUGUGAUGCAAAUGAUCUGCAAUACUAACUUUAGAAAGCCAACCAGUCACCUAAUUACUUUUCGGUCUGGUGGGAAUAUAAGCCAGGUUGAUUAUCUCCUUGCUAGGCAGGAAGAUUAUCUCCUUGCUAGGCAGGAAGACAGGCAGAUGCUCCAGCAUAGGCUACUAGUUAGUGACUUCAGAAUUAGAGCUAGAGAGAUUUAAAGACAUAAUCCACGUUGGAAAAGAAGAUUAUGGAAGCUCAAAGACCCAGCAAACCAACAACAAUUUAGAGACGUUCUACUGGAAGCCUCUGAUGAUAGAGAGGUGGAAGAAGGGACAUAUAGCUUAGAGCAGUGUUCCCCAACCUUGUUUUCCAGUGCCCCACUUUUUAAUAACAAAUUUUCCAGUGUCCCACUUUUUAAUAACAAAAAAUCUGGCGCCGAUCAACAUUUUUUAAAAUAUAGAAACAGUUUUUUAAUUCAAUUACCUGGCUGACAGAUAGCCCAACUCAUUUAAGGAGAAUCCUGUGCCUGGUGCACAGGGUUCUUGAUUUGAGGAGACAAUUUCGUUAACAUCAGCUGUACUUCAUUACAUUUUGUAAUUUUCAGCUAGUUUCUCUUGGCUUCCAACAAAUUGUCAACUGCACUGAAUCAGCAUUCGACCAAAUAAGAUAAGGGAAAAUGAAUCAAUAGUUCUCUUGCUGAUAUAGAGAUGUUGGGGGUUAUUUUUUUUCAACCUUGUCACAUAGCCACAUAUUUGUACCUUUCACUUUAAACAAAGUCUUCACUGAUUCAUCAUGUUGCAAUUCUGAUAACUCUUCUUGGUAUUGAACUGCAGCAUCAGAAAUGUCAGUGAGCAGUGGUUGAGUUAACCAAGUGGGAAAAUCCAUUGUCUUCAAAUCACGAAAUUGGUUGUUGAAGUCUUUUAUUAAGAUAUUCAAAUGGUUAAUAAUUAUGGUGGCCGCAUCAUUCAUUAUCUCAUAUUUACUCAACCAGUAUAACGGACUGAAUUUUCUUUUGGAAACACCUUUUUGACAUAUUUUGAGGGCUGUAAUGAAUCCAAAAAUCUUUGCUUUCGCAUCAACAAGUAUCAUGUUUACACUUUGCAGUUGUUUAUUCAAGUUUCCAAGUUUCUCAAAGAUGUCUGUCAAAUAACUGACAAAUGUUUUUCCAUCCAUUGUUAACAGCAUUUUCAUUUCACAUUUAUCACUGAGAAAGUCGUUAAGCUGGUCAAAUAAUUUCAUGAACAUCUUUAAGCUAUUUCUACUUGAUAGCCACUUUACUUCUGUAUGAGACUAUAAUCAAACAUGCUCGGCACUUUGAUUUACACAAAAUUGCUUAAAAAGACAUUUGACUUUGGGAUUUGCUUUAAUUGAUGAAAUGGGGCAAAAUGUUGAAAACCAGCUUAUUGAGUCAUUAAAAUCAAGAAAAUUCUCAUUACAAAUGGAUGAAUCUACAUUUCAGGACACACUUGAUCACAGCUUGUAGAAUUUCAUUAAGAACAGGGGACAGUUUCUUGGCAGCCAAGUUUUCUUAGUGUAUGACGCAAUGGACAAUCAACAUGUUUGGAUUUUCAUUCUUCAUUAUUUUUAAGUAUCUCGUUUUCUUGACCAUUAAGGUAGUAAGUUUUCUUUUGGUAUUUUGUUUGCAUCCAAAUAAUGUGGAUAUCCUUUGCAGUUGUGGUUGUUUCCAAUGGUUCACAAAACAACAUCUCUUCCUGAAAAGCCUUGUGCUCAAUAUAUAUUACAUAAGUCAAAUAACAAUGCCUCACUGUCCUGAAAUGUGGAUUCAUCCAUUUGUAACGAGAAUUUUCUUGAUUUUAAUGACUCAAUAAGCUGGUUUUCAACAUUUACCCCCAUUUCAUCAAUUUUAUUGGAGACAGUGUUAUUACUGAGUGGCAUGUCCCUGACAUCUCUAUCAUCUUUUUGUUGUACAGUUUCUAAGAAUAUUGAGAUAGCUGGUUUAAUCAGUUGCUCUCCAAUAAUGUGAUUCUUUCCAUGUUUUGCUAUAAGCAGGGAAAUUUCAUAGCUGGCUUCGAAGGCAGAGUCUUCUUCUUGCUUUGUUUACUCAUUUUAAAAAGGGCGGACACAAAUCCAAGAAAGCGAAGCAAUGGAGAUGACGAUUUUUGCACAGCAUAGAAAGAAAGGGAUUUGAAGCAACAAUCAGCAAUAGUGAGCAGAGUUGACUGAAGCUUUUAUAAACACUGGACAAUAGAUAUUCAAACAAAGAAACAAAUGCCUAACAAAUGCAGAUACCUCACUUGGUAUACUGAUUGGUUGUAGCUACACUGAUUCCCAUGGUUUAAGUAUAAAUAUUGCAUGGUAAUGUUUCUUUUCAUUUCAAUGUCCAAAAUAGACUUAGGGUCGAUAAGUGUGCACUCAAGUCACUUGAAAAAAUUUUCACAACCUACGCUAACGUAUGCCCUACCCCAAUUUUCUCACACCCAAUGUUGGGAAACAUUGGCUUAGAAGACAACUGGAAGUUCCUGCAGAACAAUUUACUGGGUGCCACUGACCAAAUCUGUGGUUGGUGAAAAGUCCCAACCAGGCCGAGGGUGAUUUGGUGGUGGAACAAGGGGGUGGACAGUGCUAUAAAAGCAGAGACAGGCCUGGAAGGACUGGGCGGAAGCAAAGCUUUAUAUCAGGGAGCCAGAAGAGAGGCUAGGUGAUAGGCUUACAUUGCAGAAGGUAAGAAGUUUGCCAAUGCAUGAAGAUCAGAAGUAUGAGGUGUUCAGGAUUGCAAAGCAGCGUAUCAGAGAGAAUAGAGAUGUGGCAAGUGAGAAGUGUGUGCAAAUGGAUAAUAGUAUGCUUGCACUUAGUGACUCAGAGAAGAAAGAUAUGUGGAGAUGCCAUUAUGAAAGGUUUUUAAAUGUGGAGAAUCAUUGGAAGAAAGAGAGUCUUUCAAAUAUUGAAACAACUGAGGGACCAGCCAUCAGAGUGGAUAGCAGUAUAAUAGAUAAGGCAAUUAAAAAAAAUGAAGACUGGGAAGGCCCCUGGACCAUUGGGUAUCACUGCCGAGAUGAUUAAAAUACAGUGGGAUAUAGUCUAGUCACUUGCAUAGUUAAUCAGAUUAUUCAGGAAGGCGUCAUCCCCAAAGACUGGUGAAACAGUCUUAUAGUCAGCUGCUACAAGGGUAAAGAUGAUGCCUUAGAUAGGAACAACUACAGAGGUAUCAAACUGCUGGAUCAGGCCAUGAAAAUUACAGAGUGAGUUAUGUCAACUAAUUAGGGAUAGAAUUAAACUAGAUGGGAUGCAGUUUGGUUUUGUUCCUGGGAGAAGUACCACAGAUGCCAUCUUCAAAGUGAGACAAUUGCAAGAAAAUAUUUGGCCAAAAAUAAGCCAUUGUACUUAGCCUUUGUUGACCUGUAGAAAGCUUUUGACAGGGUUCUCCACUCUCUUAUUUGGUGGUCUCUAAGGAAGUUAGGAGCAGAGGAGUGGUUUGUUACAGUGGUUCAGGCCAUGUACAGUGAUGCUGUCAGUAAGAUGAGAGUUGGCUUUGAAUACAGUGAUGAAUUUAAUGUACAAAUUGGAGUAUACCAGGGAUCAGUUCUUAGUCCACUCUUAUUCAUCAUAGUUCUCCUGGCCAUAACAGAUGAAUUCAAAACUGGAUGCUCUUAUUGCAGAAUCUGGAGCAGAAUUGGAGAAGUUCCGGAUUUGGAAGCAAAACUUGGAAUCAAAGGGCCUUAAAGUUAACUUAGCUAAGACUAAAGUUGUUAGCAAGAAAGGAGAUAAGACUCUCAGUCUGGCUGGCAAAUGGCCCUGUUCAAUAUGUAGGAAAGGAGUAGGACUUAAUUCCAUUUGCUGUACCAAGUGUAAGUUAUGGACGCAUAAGAGAUGCAGUGGAAUAGUGGGAAUGUUAUCAGAUAAGGUUGCUUUCAUAUGUAGCAGAUACCCAGGAACAAUAAGUACUAAGAGCAUGAGGGACUUAAACUCUCUCAAAUACCAAGGAGAUUCUCUUGAGGUAGUAGAUAGUUUUUGCUAUUUAGGUGACUAAAUUAGUAAUGGUGGUGGAUGCUCUGAAAGUAUUGUUUCUAGAAUGAGAAUAGGGUGGAGGAAGUUCAGAUAAGUACUAUCUCUGUUGGCAGCAAAAGGACUCUCUCUCAGAGUGAAAGAUAAAUUGUAUGAUGCUUGUGUGAGAACGGCUAUGUUACAUGUUAGUGAGAUGUGGGCUCUGGUUGCAGAGGACAUGCAUAGGCUGGAGAGGAAUGCCGGUAGUAUGCUUCAUUGGAUUUGCAACAUCAGAGUGCAUGACCAACAAAGCACAACUGUGUUGCGAGAAAAGUUAAACAUAAAGGGAUUAAAUGUGGUAUGCAGGAGAGUAGAAUGCGUUGGUUGGGACAUGUGAUGUGUAUGAAUGAAGACAGCUGUAUACAGAACUGCCUGUUUCUGAAAGUGGAUGGUACUUGUUGAAGACCCAGGAAGACAUGGGAUGAAGUGGUGAGGACUGAUCUUGGGAUGCUGGGGCUCACGGAGGAAAUGAUAGUGGACUGAGAUGUUUGGCGAUAUGAGGUUCUAGAGAAGACCCAUCCGUGAAACUGAGUGCCAGAAGAGUUGUGUCCCACCCACAUGGAACAACACACUUUUCACCCACUCUACCUUAAGAAAUUGAACUACAACUUCUCUUCUAACUGUAUCUUUCUCUUCCUCACAUUUCCUUUUCAUAAAUUAUGAUUGUUUUCCUAUCUCGUUUCUUGCCCUCACUACCCAGCUCACUGUAUCACUGCUCCUCACACCCCUAACACCCACACCCUAUUUUUCUAACCAAGUUCUAUGCUCAUAUUCUUGUUAUUUGUGAGUAAACCCUAGCACUACACCAUCUCUCUUUGACUCUCUCUUACACUUUUGCUGUGUCCUACUCUCUCACUUACCCUUUGGGCACUCUUUCUCUCCUUCCCUUGUUUUUCCUCUGAUUAGGUAACCAAGUAUCUCCUUUACAUCAGCACACUUGUUUCUGGCCUCUUUCUUGUACCUCUCUCUCUCUUUGUGUGUGUGUGUGUGUGUGUGUGUGUGUGUGUGUUUAACCUUGAACCUCCUCUACAGCAAGACACCUAUUUCUGCCUCUCUUUUUCUCUGUUACACUCUAACCUUUCAUCUUCUGAUACUGGAUCACCUCCUCUAAUGCUCCCUUGGUUGUGGCAAGACACCUGCUUCUGUCUCUUUGUCACACUUUAAUCUUCCAUUCUCUGACACGAGUUCCCCUUCUCAAAUGCCCUACUCCUCUCAUAAUUCCUUGUCUUGUCUUGGUUACCCUGAAAGUGCUGGUACCACAUUAAAAGCAUCCAGCCCACACUGUAAUGUGGUUGACAUUUGGAAGGGCAUCCAGUUGUAAAAAUCAUACCAAAACUAACUUCACCUGUACUAGUGCCACGUAAAAUGCACUGAGUCUACUUUGCAGAAUGGUUGGUGUUCGGAAGGGCAACCAGCUGUAAAAUCCCUGGCAAAACAGACACAGUGGCCUGGGAUAGUCUUCUAACUGGACGGCUUCUGUCAUCCGUCCUACCUAUGCAUGCAUGGAAGAUGGACGUUAAACAAUGAUGAUGAUGAAAUAUAUGUAUAUGUACACACACACACACACGCACACACAGUGAAACAAGACAAACCGAUUAAAAAAUUGCAUUGAAGGUGAGUAUGUUUGAGAAGAAAUCUAACUUCAAGCACCUUUUUACUGAUCAAUUUUUAGACACUACUUUCUAAACCUGGCAAAGUAUGUAGGGGUGCAAAUUUUGAUUUUGCACCUGCUAAAAAUUUUAGGGGGUGUAAGUGUACCCCCCUGCACCCCCUCUCUGAGCCCUUAAUUGCUUCUGCUAAAUAUUGAUAUAUGUAUGUAUGUAUGUAGGUAAGUAGGUGGGUAAGUGAGUGAGUAGCUUGUGUAUGUGGUAUUGAUGAGCUGAAAUAACUGAAAUAUUGAUAGCUACCAUUCUUAUUCCCUUUCCGGGUGAUCUAUUUCACCUGGCUUUCAGUAUAUAAUGUUUUUUAACACAUCUUUUAAGGGACUUUCUUGGGACGAAAUACCACAGCUUAAGUAUUUGACAUCAUUAAGUUUUUGACUGGAUUAAGUAUUUGACAUCAAUAAUGGUUACAGUGUUAGAGCUGCUCUUAAUUCAAAAUUUAAUUUUGUUUUACUUGUGUGUCACUGUUGUACAUCAGCAGAUAGAUUUUACACUGCCCGUGUAUACCUCCGACCAGUGAUUUCAUUUUGUUUCAGUGGUGACUUGAAAAUAUAGUAUUGGUGAUUUGAAAUUACAGUGAAAUAUUGAUAUUCACCAUUUUCAUUCAUCUGAGGGGCAAUUCAUUUUACCUGGUUUUGAGGUAUACAACGUUUUUUAGUACUUUACAUCCCAAAGGAAUUUUCCUGGAAUGAGACACUACAACCAAAAAGUGUUUAGACAACAGAUAUGCAUUAAGCGUGUGACAUCAAUGUUUACAUUAUUAGAGCUGCUUCUAACUCAAAAUUUAAUAGGUAUGUAUGUAUAUAUAUGUAUGUGUGUGUGUUUUAUGUGUAUGUGUGUGUGUGUAUGUAUGUGUGUGUGUGUGUGUGCGUGCGUGUGUGUGUGUGUGGAGUAUGUAUGUUAGAUUGAAAAGAAAAUCUUGUCAUAUUUCGAAAUGGGAAAGAAACAAAUGUUUUUUUGGUCUGAGUCUAUAUAUUUAAUGAAGAUAUUUCCCUUCUUUAUUGAUAACAAAAUACCAUCUAUUUGACAAAUUGUUGAUCCCUAGUGUGUACAUUCCUCAGGCUUUGAAGUAAAAAAAAAAAAAAAAAAUUAUAACUUUUAACCCCUUCACAAGUAGGAAACAAUUAUCUACCAUUCACAGUAUCCACUCUUCAACCAUAUGAUCCAUUUUUUAAAAAUGUAUUUUUCUAUACUCUAAAGACGUUAUUAACAAGACAGCAGAGUAUCAAAAAUUGUACUAUACAAGACUAAGUAGCAGAAAUAACAUCUUGCAACCUUUAGUAAUGUUCCUUAAAUAGUUCAAAUCCUCUUGGGUCAACUUCGCCUUUCACCUUUUGGAGUUGAUAAAAAAUAUACUAGUCAAAUUAGUAUAUCCCUCCCUUAAAAUUUUGGUCUUGUGUCUUUUUAAAACAAAAUUAUUAUUUAUUAAUUUACCAUACUAAUUUUGCUUUCUUAUUCUUUUAGCUUACAUCAAAAAUGUUACUGUUUCUGGUCCAGUCUACCAACUAGAAGUGAUAGAUACUGCUGGAUAGCUUUGAUACUAUCAAAUUGAUUUGCAGCAAUAUGAAAUGCAAAAUAUGAGUUUCAAUUGUUAUGGUUUGAAACAAAAGAGAUCUUGAAGAGGACAGGUAAGUUAUUUUUAUUGGAUUAUAUUUGGUCUCUAUUUACUGUUGAUAGUAGAUAUGGUGUAUGUGUAUCUAAACAUUUAAUCUAUUGUAUGAUUAUAUUGAAUUAUCUGGGAAGUUUGUUUUUCUCUUCAUAAUAUGUGAAACAACAUAUUUAAUUCAUAAUGUUUUAAUUAACCAAACAAUCAUUUAUAAACGCAGGAAUUGGUGUCUCUGUUUUGAAAUACCAAAUUUUGUCAGAAUUUUGUUUGUAACUUAUAAGGUUGGAAAACCAGAAAGCACACAUUCAUUAUUGAGAAAAAGAAAAAAAUUCAUCUGAUAAUCAAAAAAUAUGUACUGCACAGAAAAGAUCACGAGUAAACGAGGGGAAACAACUCUAACUUUUCCAAUAUUAAGUCUUCAUUCAAGACAAAAACAAGUGAUAUUGAAUAAAUGAGCUUUUAACACAAAAUCAAAUACAAUGAUCCAAUGCUUACAAAUUGGGUAAAUUGGAUUCUGCUGUCCAAUACCAACGUCCAACAUUAGCAAACAGAAACUGUGUUAUUUUUCAUUAUGAUAUGUAGCACAUUACUCUACUUGAGAAGAUCUACGCACCACAACAGAAAUAGGAUCCUAAACCCAAGGUGCCACAUAAAAAGCAUUAGUGUGGUGCCACGUAAAAUGCACACAGCACACUCUGGGGUGUGGUUGGUGUUAGGAAGGGCAUCCAGUAAUAGAAACCAAGGCAAAAUAGACUAUGCCUGGUGUGGCUCCUGACCUUGCUAGUUCCUAUCAUGCCGUCCAACCCAUGCCAGCAUAGAAAAUGGAUGUUAAAUGUUGUUGAUGAUGAUGGUGAUGAUAACAGUAGAUUCCAUGUUUCUUUAGCCACUUGACAAAAAUUAGUGGAGUUUGCUUGAGAAUUGUUGGUCUGUUUCUUAUAUUCACCAGAUAUUGCAUCUUGAGAGGAAGAGCUAUUAGACUGGGUGUGUCAUGAGGAAAGUCAUAUGUAUUAAACCAACUAUUUCAUAUAUUUGAUACUUGUGUUGACUCCUAUAUGAUGAAAAACCAGGACAACCAUACCAGUUUUUGAAUACAAAAUUACGAAACUAAAAAUGUGUGAUAUAGCAUAUAGCAAGAAUGGAGAGAAAGGCACAGACAUAGGUUCAAAUUUUUUGAGUAGGUAGCAGAGUUAUGGUGGUUGGUGAGGACCUACAUUUGGUUGAGAAAUAGAUAGAUGAUAUGAUCAAGGUGGUCACAAAGUGUGUUGUAGGAUAAUUUAGCUUGGACUUGUCUUUGAAAACAUGACAGUAACAUUUAUCUCUGUAUAUGAUCCACAUGCUAGUCUGGCAGAUGAACAAUCGAACCAUUUCUAUGUGAUCAUGAAUAACAAUGACCUUAUUAUUGUAGCUGUUGGGCCGUUACUGCUGAGGACAUGCGUAGGCUCGCAAGGAAUGAAGCCAGUAUGCUCCGAAAGAUGUGUAAUGCCAGUGUGCAUACUAGACAGAGUAACAGUACCUUGAGAGAAAAGUUGAACUUACGAAGCAUCAGUUGUAGUGUGCAAGAGAGACGACUGCGCUGGUAUGGUCAUGUAGCGAGAAUGGAUGAGGAUAGCUGUGUGAAAAAGUGCCACACCUUAACAGUUGAGGGAUCCUGUGGAAGAGGUAGGCCCAGGAAGACCUGGGAUUAGGUGGUAAGGCACGACCUUUGAACAUUGGGCCUCACCGAGGCGAUGACUUCUGACUGAGACCUUUAGAAAUAUACUGUGCGCGAGAAGACCCGGCAAACCAAGUGAGACCUAAAUCUAAGGCCCAGCCAGCCCACUUAUGCGUAUC